rnacentral:lncRNA from 1 species
GACAGGUUCUGAGCAGUUCGUUUAGAUUUUACACUUAACAUCUAGAAGGAAUGCUCUCCCUGCCUUUGCUGAAGGCAUUUCACAGAACAUCUCAUUAUUUAUUUAUCAGGAUAAGACUCCAGAAAAAGGUUGUGCCACCUGCUGCUAUUCCGACGCUACUGAACUGGACUGCUGGGAUAUCUGUGAAGUGUUUGCUAGUGGAUCCAGCUGCCACUGCUGACCUAUGCCUGAUAGAUGGAAUCUGCUCCAAAGAACUAUUUCUAAACAGGCAGGGCUUAUCAGUGAACCUGCAGAUCACCAGUUGACCAGACAAGCAACCUAAGUAUCCUCCUGUCUACAAAUUCCCAGCAUGAAGAUUAUAGAGACAUACUUCUGUAUCCAGCCUUUUAGAUUAGGUUAAUGGAGGUAAGAAGACCUGCCUGCCCUACAUAUGGGUGGCAGCAUCCUAUGCCCUGGGAUCCUGGACCAAAUAAAGAGGAGAAAGCGAGCCAAGCACCAGCAGCAUCAACAGCCUUCUGAUGAUGUGCAGGAAGUGGCCACCAUCUUACAUUCGGCUGCUGUGACUUCCCACCAUGUAAGAUGAUAGCCUGGAACUGUGAGCCCAGAGAACCCUCCUCCCUUUUGUCAAGUAUUUGGUUCCAGCAUUUUUUUUUUUUUUUGAGUUGAUUGUUUUCUGCCUUUGGGGACGACAGGCGAGAUUUUAGUCAUUUGGCCAUGUAGAAGUGACUGAGAUAGAUCAGCUACCUUCUCAGUCCAUUAAGCUUCUAUAGAAACCAAAAUGGGAAAAGGACAUUUGAUUUUCUUUUCCAUAAUUCUGAACUCAUCAUGCCUAAAACCCAAGGACAAGGACUCGUGGGUCCUUUGGGUGGGAGGCUGGAGGUCAUGCGUGGCAUUUUCUAUUGAGGUAAUGUCUCUAGAGAGGUGAUGGAUCGAAUGCAUCAUUAAACAAUCAAUUAGGUAGUACAAAUGUACCUCUCUCUAAAAUACCCAUUCCAGCCAUGCAGUUUAAAUAUUUCUGGUGUUAUAAAAGGAAUUCUUAUUAUUACUAUGUUUUCUUUGGUAAAGGUUAAAUUUGUGUAGAUGCUGAUAUCUCUGGAGAAAGGAGGAAAACUCAUAGAUCAUCGACAUUGUGCCCUGUAGCUCUAAGAUGUUGUUGGUGGAGUCUUGGUGAUGGACAGACAGCUCUGCCCAUGUCUAGGCUCUCUUAUGACCCUUUUCAAAGUAAAGAACUUUCUAGGGUUAUCUUU